rnacentral:lncRNA from 1 species
CAGAUACCUGAAUUACUCUCUGAACAGAGAUAAAAUACGUUCGCAAGACACCAUAUCUGUACUGGCAACUGUAUCUCACAAUCCGGCCGGCCGUCUUUUGGCUUGGAGAUUUGUGAGGGAAAACUGGGCGACGCUACUAGACAUGUUCGGACAGGGAAGUUUCUCCAUGGAUGUCAUCAUAUCAGAAGUUAUCUCUCAUUUCAGCACAAGAUUUGAUUAUAAUGAGGUGAAAACAUUUUUUAACAAAGUGAAUGUGGGAGCAGGUGCCCAGGCAUUAAAUCAGAGUCUGGAAAAGAUUCGUGCCAAUAUUUACUGGAGAGAGAACAUCGAAUCCUCUGUUGUUCGGUGGCUACAACAACAGAUCAAUCAAAAUAUGCAAGAUUAAUACUAUUAAAAGAAAUCAUAUCAUAUACUUCAAAUAACCAUUUUAAUAUCUUAUCAAUUUGUAUAGAUCUACUUAAAUCAGAACUGUUAUUUAACUCAUAGCUUUAUAAAAGUAAUUCUGACCAUAUCAUUUAUAUAAGGAAAACAAAAAUGGCAAAAUUUUUGCUUUUAUUAAUGAUGUAUGAAUUUCAGAUCCUAUUGGAUAAUACUUAUUCCAAAUGUAUGUAUAAAACUAGAUCCCUGUUAGUACACAUACAUAGUACUGACCAGUUAAAUUUUCUUCUGUAUAUUUAAAUAUGAAACAAAUGGCCGUAUUCCUUUAUUGGGCCAUUACGGCUAAAUAAUUACUAAGUAAUUUGGAAGGAGGUAGAUGGUUACGCUGCCAUCUCUCUUUAAAUUUAAUAAUUAAAAACAGUUAAAGGAAUCAGCUGUUCGUCCAAUAUUUGAAGUAAUUAUCAGGUUAAUUGUAUUUAUUAUGUACACAUUCUUUCAAAACGAAUGCCACCAUUUUAAGUUACCAUAAUUAUGUUAUUUAUUGUCCAAGAAGUGUGCAUCAUAUGCCACUCGAUAGAGCAGAUGUCAGAGUUACAUCUCCCACUCACAUUGGAUGUCUCAUGUCCUAACUCUAGGAAGUACCAUAAACAAAAAUGGCGACUUCGCAUUUCGUGUUCUGCAGUUUGCAAAGUUGGAAUCACUGUUGUGCAUUUGUUUUGCGUACAAUUUCAGAACAAUCUGCUGUGUAAGACAAACAUUUUUUGGUGAUAUUGACAGUUCUGGGAGAAAGCAAAACAGUUCCAACUUUGUAAGCAGAACACAAAAUGACUUCUGUGUCAUGGAGUUGCCAUUUUUGUUUAUGGAGCUUCUUAGAGGAAGUAGACAACCAAUGUUUGAGCACACGCGGGAGACGAAACUUGGACGAUUACUCUACGGAUUGGUGUACUGUACAUCACAUACUUCUCACAUAAUAGUUAACACUAUUACACUAACUUAAAAUGGUAGCACUCAUUAUGGAAGACCCUGUACCUUCAUCUUUCAGUAUAUUUAAUGGUAAACAAGAUAUUCUAGGUAUACACAAUGUAGACAUGAAUAAUUACUGUAAAAUAGUAUCAUGUGAAAUAGUAACUUUUUAUUCAAAGAUCUUGCAAAUAAAAAUGCCAAUGAAAUUUACUCUUUACUCGAUCCAACAUGUUAUAGUUACUUGUUGAGAAACAAUAAUGAUCGAUUUGAACUUUCAAAAAAGAGUCAUAACUUGAAAUGAUUUUUUGGGGGCAGUGCAAAUGGUAUCAAGUGAAGAAUAUGUCCUAUCAGCAGUUUACUUUCAGUUUUGUGUAAGAUAUCUUUUUACAUAUUGAUAUUACAGGAUCUUCCAAAAAGAAUGCUAUCAGGUGAAAUUAUUCUAAUUAUGUUAAUUAUUAUCCGAGAACAGACAUUAAAACAUUGGAAAACUGUACAAGUUUCGCAUUUGCCCAUUACAGAUUUCGACAUGUGCACCUCAUAUUACACAGCAGACAUCUGACUGAUACUCAAAUUCUUCCUAUUCUCACUACGGCAUAUCCGCUGUCACUCCUCACACAGCAGCCACAGUUCCACGGUUGCCAAUUGCCACUUGCAUCAUACGACAAUAAGUGAUUCCAGGUUUGAAACUGCAGAACACAAAACACCUUCCAUAUUGUGGAGUCGUCAUUUUUGUUUACAGCACUUCCUGGAAGCCGUAUACAAUGCAAAGGAUGAUUACGGUUAAUAUAAUUACAGUAGUUUAAAACGAUAGCAUCCAUUUUGGAAGAUCCCAUAUUUUAGAAAGCAUUUUAGCAAAAUAUUUAUUUUUCAAUAAAGGUUAAAUUAAUUAAAGAAGGAUCAAAUUAUUAAACAUUUGGACUUCAAUAUUUCUUGUGAUUGUAUGAAAAAAUAUCUCCAAGAUAUGCUCUUUGUUUAUUUAAAAAUGUUUUUUUGGUCCAGAAUAAAAAAAUAAAUUCAUUCGAUAUCAACUAUAUUUUAAUUAAUUGAGAACAAUAGAGAUAUAGUUAAAACUUCUUCGUGAAGCCAGUGAGAAUGCUAUAUUACGUUUUAAAUUUAUUAUAUGGGUAUCCCUCAAUUACCGUGGUUAAUUAAUUCCUCAUUGCUACUGUGUAUAUCAAAAUGGUGUUAAUCAAAUAGAGGUACAGUAUCUGCAUUAGUAUACCAAGUCCAGUGUACUUAAUACCACUUGUAUGACCUUAUACCUUUAACCUUAUAUACUUUAAAGCAGUGUUUCUCAACCUCUAACGAAUCGUCGCACCUUUCAGUAAAACCGUUACGUAGUAUCGCCCCCUUCACUACAAAAUUCCGAUGCUAAGGGCCAAGACUUACGCCAAAUUCGUACUACAUUGAAUAGACUAGUGAUCAGCGUUGCCAGAUCUGAAGGUUAAAAAGGAGCGUGGUUGUGCUCCAAAAGUAGCGGAUUUGAACUGUUUGUAGCCCAAACAAUAAAAUGAAUUAUUUUGCAACUAUGC